rnacentral:piRNA from 1 species
UGACAGAGCUCCCCAUGCCGAGCAGCGCC